CAGUAGAGGAAGAAUUAAGCCUGCAUAGAAAACUUGCCAUUUCUGCAGCAUCCAUCGGAUACCUACUGCACACCACACUCUACCAGCUCCAGGCUCCCGUGCCUCUUCCCGGCGCCAGGCCAGCAGCUGAAGCGUGAACGCCACACCACACGCACACGGCCGGACCCUCCACCCCCAAUCAGCCUCCAGGUCUGCGCAAAGGACCAGACUCCACGCGGCUGCAGGUUAGAGAUCCAACCAAGGCUCCGCGUUCGAUCUGGGGGGUCUUGUACCCAGAAUUCCCAUAACACACUGCCUGGAAUGUCCUCAAAAUUACCACCCAUGGCACAAGGCUCGGAGUGGAAAGCAGGGUGAGCGGCUGCAGCCAACUUUAAGGAGUUGUUUUCGGCAUUUGGGGUCUC